rnacentral:rRNA from 1 species
GCGACCCCAGGUCAGGCGGGAUUACCCGCCUGAGUUUA